rnacentral:rRNA from 1 species
UGUCAAGUCCUCAUGGCCCUUAUGUCCGGGGCCACACACGUGCUACAAUGGGCGGUACAGACCGCUGCGAGGCCGCGAGGCGGAGCGAAUCGGUCAAAGCCGCCCCAAGUUCGGAUUGCGGCCUGCAACCCGGCCGCAUGAAGCUGGAAUCGCUAGUAAUCGCGCAUCAGAACGGCGCGGUGAAUACGUUCCCGGGCCUU